rnacentral:lncRNA from 1 species
CUCCCUCCCUCCUUUCUCUCUGCUUUCUUCCAGAAUGGCAUCUGGGCAUAAGGGGGUGGCAUAUGAGCUAUAUGGUUUAGAUGCUGUCCCCUACCUUUUGCUGGUCUUCACUGACAUGUGGCUACUCCAGACUUUUCCCAGGGCAUUAUGGAUUAUGGCUGAACCCACCAGGACAGGACUGGCCUGGAUUAGGUCCUGAGCAGCACACUGACCAACUUUGAAUUCUGAAACUUGCCAGUGUUUCCAGUCCUGAGGUCCUCAUGUGCCAUGGCCUCACAGCUUAUCAUCUGGCCUCUCUUCAUCCCUCUACUAGCAUACCACUGGGCCAUAUGGACAACUCCAGAUCACCCACAUGGCACUCGCAGACCAAGGGGAAGUGUGGAGUUGCUACUGCCCACCAUACCGUCUCCCAGAGCUCUCUUACAGCUUCUCUGUCAGCUUGGCUGUUUGGCAUAUCAGGGGACAGCUCCUCCAAGAGGCCAGUGCCCUCCCUGGUCUGUGUUGGGGGAAGUAGCCACCAGUGCCCUCCAAGCCUGUGUCUUCAUCACCAACCAGGAUUUGACCUGUGAGGAGGGGGACUGCAACACUUGCUUCUGAACUCUCGUCUUGCCUUUUCCUUCUCAACAGCAUCAGAAGGCCCUUUUCACUUCCUGCUGCAUGGGAUCUUGUCCUUGAUCUUACGCCAUGUCAUCUUCACCCUGUGGUUUAUAGAAAUCUAUCCUCUCAUCUCCAAAUUGUGUUCUUGAUCUGCAGAAGAAAGAUUUCUGAAAUUAGGAAAUUUUCUCCAACGAAGCCAGAUAUUAAGAUGUGUCUCACCAUGGACUCAAGAAAACAGAAUUCCAAUCUCAGGACUGAGCAAUGGUGGCCUGAGUGACAGAGGCCAUUGAUGGAGAUCUACUAGCUGGGGAUCUGCAUGCUAACGAAGAAUCCAAAAUUAUUAGCAACCAAGUUCACUUGGGGGAUGGGGGGUUGGGGCUGUAGCUCAGUAGCAGGGCACUUGCCUAGCAUGUUGAGGCAC